UGCGUAAUACCCUGUGGCGGACUGAGGUUCGCGCAUUCGCAAGGAUGCUGGCGUAGUGGUCAUCAGUGACCCGUCUUGAAACACGGACCAAGGAGUCGUCUUCGUAUGCGAGUGUUCGGGUGUCAAACCCCUACGCGAAAUGAAAGUGAACGCAGGUGAGAGCUUCGGCGCAUCAUCGACCGAUCCUGAUGUUAUCGGAUGGAUUUGAGUAAGAGCAUACGGGGCCGGACCCGAAAGAAGGUGAACUAUGCCUGUGUAGGGUGAAGCCAGAGGAAACUCUGGUGGAGGCUCGCAGCGGUUCUGACGUGCAAAUCGAUCGUCAAACAUGGGCAUGGGGGCGAAAGACUAAUCGAACCUUC
rnacentral:rRNA from 1 species